GACAGAGGGUGCAAGCGUUGUUCGGAAUUACUGGGCGUAAAGCGCGUGUAGGCUGCUUCAUAAGUCGGAUGUGAAAGCCCUGGGCUCAACCUAGGAAGUGCAUUCGAAACUGCGAAGCUUGAGUCCUGGAGAGGAAGGCGGAAUUCUCGGUGUAGAGGUGAAAUUCGUAGAUAUCGAGAGGAACACCGGUGGCGAAGGCGGCCUUCUGGACAGUGACUGACGCUGAGACGCGAAAGCGUGGGGAGCAAACAGG
rnacentral:rRNA from 1 species